UUGUAGUGGCAUGGUCAGUCAACUGAUUAGUUGCAUGGCUGAUUACCAGUUUACUGGUGACCCAGUAAUUUUCCAUAUGACAGUGGCGUGUACCCUUGGGGACAAGAACUAUAGAAGAUACAGAGAAAUUAUAAACAGCAGAAAUGAUAGGCAAUUUAAAAUUUGCAGAAGUCAACAAAACCUAAAUGGUGAUCAGACAUCUUGGUUAUCAUGAUCAAUAGGUCAAUACUGAAUAGGAAACUGAAAGUUGAUAUCUAUCUACAUGGUGCGCUAAUUGGAUUAAUGUGAAAUGGAAUGUGUGCUUUCCUGCAAAAAAGAAAUAUGAAAUUUCAUCAUAAUCACAUGAUAAUGGCUAUAAACAAAAUGGAGUUCUAUCAUAGAUGCAGAAAAACACAAUUGUAUAAAUGCAACAACAUAUUAUAUAUAUUCAUCGAAAGAAGGGAGAAAUGAAGAAAAAAAUAGUAUUUUGUUGUUGAAAGACUCAACACCAGCUUUAUCCACUCAUUUACAUCGCUCCCUCAUAUCAAAUAUACUGAAGAAGAUCUUCGAAGAACAAAUUGCAAAAAUGUUUUCUCUAAGAAUUGAAGGAAUUUAUGUAGUGGAUUGAAUAACUGUACACAGCAGCUGAAACAGAGGAAAAUUAAAAUUUACAAGAAAAGUGUUUAUUUUAUUAUUUAAUUUGCAAAUAUGAAGGCAUUCUUAAGAACACAACAAAUGGUAUGACAUUCAAAUUGGUUGCUUAUUAAUGUAUACAAUUAAAACAAUAACAAAGAAAACAGAAUACUUUGCUACAAAAAAUAUUUUAUAAAUCAAAGUUAAAGUCAUAUAAAGUAUGUACAAUACCUUGACCCAAACAGUCAGACUCACUGUAUUGUUUUUGUAUGUCAUGAUAAUUUUGAGUCAAAAAUUUAUUAAAGUUUUAAAUAUCA